rnacentral:lncRNA from 1 species
UUUUUUUUCUUUUUUUUUUCUUAGUUUUAGCUUUAUCUUUUACAGACAAUGUAUUUUUAUAGUCAAGGAUAAAUUCACAAAAAAAUGUUAAAUAUCAUGUUACUCUGAUAUUUUGUAUAUACUACAUCUUCCUUCCAUCUUCAUUUUCCUUUUCACUGUAGUAUAUUUUAAAACAAUUCUUUAACAAGGUUUUAUGGUUAUUAGAAUAUCAUAGUAUUUCUCAGUAUGUCUUUAUUCUUAUUCUUGAAUGAUAAUUUAGCUGGGCAUGUAUUUCUAGGUUAUAUUUCCUCAAAACUUUGAAAAUACUGUCUUACUGCAUUCCAUCAUCUCUCUGUUGCUGAAGAGAAUUUUGUUGUCUGUUUAACUCUCAUUUAUCUUGUCAGUCAUCUGGCUGCUUCUGAAAUAUUCUCUUUAAUCUUUAUAGUUGGCAGUUCAACUAUGAUGUACCUCAGCUGUGUUUGUUUCUAUGUUUUUAAUUUUUAUCUUAUUCAGAACUCUAGGAAAUAUAUUAAAUUGAAGAUCUAGCCUUUUUAAUAUUUGAAAAAGCCCAGCUCUUGACUCUUCAAACACUGUCAUUUUCUCAGUUUCUAUUUAUGGAUCUCUUAGAAUCUUGAUAUAGUUCUCAUGAUUCUCAUUUUCCAUUUGCCCCUUUAUCAGUGAUGUGUUCUGGGGUGAAUCCAUCAGGAACAUUUUCCUAUUUCCUGUUUUAUAUUCAGUUUAGAUAUUUUCUUGCCUCUUAAAUUUUUUAUUUUAAUGAAUGUAUUGGUUUCAUUUUGAAAUACUUAUUUUGUUUGCUCUCCUACCCACCUUUUCUUGUUUCAUUUUUAUUUGCUUUACAAUUUAUUCUAUAGAUGUGAUUUAUUAUAUGUUUUGAACAUUCUCAACAUGUUCCAAAAUUUAUCUUUUGGUUACUGAUUUUGUUUUACUUAGUAUGCUCUUUCUUCAUCUUUCCCUCCAUAUUAAUUUAUAAAAUUAAAAUAUCUAUGUUAAUAUCCUUAGACCGUUGGUCUUCGUAAGUAUUAGAAUUUUGGUUUACAGAAAUUCCCUCUAAAAAAAGAAGAGGUUUGUUUCUUUGUUUUAUCAUUUCUUGCCUUCUCCUCUCAUUUCCUGCACAUCCUUCUCUGUGUGGUAAUUUUGAAAUUACCUCCAUCACCUUAACCUCCCCAAACUCUAAGUUAAGAAACAGGCUUACUCUAAGUUAAGAAAUAGGGAUUUAGGCAGUUCCUGCUGUGGCUCAGCACUAAUGAACCCAAUGAGUUUCCAUGAGGAUGUGUAUUUUAUCCCUGGUCUUACUCAGUGGGUUAAGGAUCCUGUGUUGCCAGGAGCUAUGGUGUAGAUUGUAGAUGUGGCUGAGAUCCUGCAUUAUGUGGUUGUGGCAUAGACCAGCAGCUACAGUUCCAAUUUGACCCCUAGCCUGGGAACCUCCAUAUGCCAUGGGUGCGGCCCUAAAAAGACAAAAAAUAAAACAUAAAAUAAAAAUAAUUUUCAAGCCAAUUUCUAAGAGAGUGAUAGUUUGGGAAGAAAGAGCAGACAGAAGAUUUAACUCUGAACAUUAAAGUAUCUGUCUAGGUCUAAUAGGUCUUGUGUCUCAUAGAUAAGUAGGAGACAGACCAGAUGAGUCUCUACCCAAAAAAGAACAAAUAGAUUAGGAAAGUUGACCUUAUGAUUGAAACCUCUGAAAACAAACUCCUUAGACAAGAGAUGAGCUAAUAGUGAGGGCUGAGAAAAGGACGAUUGGAGAUACGAAGUCAAAUAUACAUUUCUCUAAAUAGCAAUUCAGUAUCAGUGGAGGAAUAAAGGAAGGAAAGAAGGGAAGGAGGAGAGAGAGGAAGAAAAAAGGAAAGAGAGGGAGGGGGAAUAAAGGAGAGAAGGAUGAAGAGAGGGAGGGGUGGAGAAUGGGAAAAAGGAGGAAAAGGAGGGAGGAAGGGGUGGAGGGAAGUAGAAGGAGGGUGAAAGGNNNNNNNNNNNNNGGAAAGAGGAAAAAAGGAAGAAAAAAUGAAAGAGAGAGGGGAAAAUAAAGGAGAAAAGACUGAAGAGAGGGAGAGGUGGAGGAAGUAUGGGACAAAAGGAGGGAAGAAGGAAGGAGGGAGGGAAGGAAACAGGAAGGAAGGAAAAGAGGGGAAGGAUGUGGAGAGGGAGAAGUGGAGGGAGGAAGGGAAAAAAGAAUGGAGAAGAAAGAGAGGACAAGACAGCAGAUAAAGUGAUAUUGCAAAGACAGGAAGGGAAUUGAGUAAACAGAUAAAAGCUCUUCAAUUCUAAAAAUUUUGAGAUGUUAGUGCAAAAUCUCAGUCACUGGGAAUUCUUCUAAAGCAUAAACAGCUUUCUUUCUGAGCCAGUUUAAAUGUACUUAAAUAGCACCCUGAGCUGGAACUUGACUUACUGAAGUUCCUUCUGUCUUAGCCAUUCUCUAUCAUGUCUUGGAGCUAGUACCUCAUAAAAGUUCUUUCAACUUGUGCAUAUUCUAGGCAUGAAAGUCAGAGCUGGUUUUGCUGAGAUUCACACUUCAGUAUUACUGAUCUAAAAGGUCUGUGAACACAUGUAAACCUUUGGAUACUGCUUUGAACUACACUCUAGGGCUUCUUGGAUUGUCUUGCUACUUAAUUAGACCUUCCACACAGGAAAAGAGCAAUGAGCUGGUGUCCCAUCUCCAACAGAUGCCUGUGCCAGAUGCUCAGAGAAACACACACUCCAUUUCCUGUAAUGUGGUCUAUUGUUCAUUUUUAUACUGUGUCACCGAAGCCUUUCUGAGAAUACUCCUAAAAUUUAUGAUGAAAACAAAGAGAAUAUCAACAGCAAAAUGACUAACCUCUAUUUCCAUAUUUGUGCUGUCUAUGUUUUAAUGAAUAUUCUCUCUUCCCUAUUGUUCUAGCACUUAUAAUUUAAUUUCCACUUAAUCAUUUUUGGUAAUUCUAAACUGGACUGUGUGUGCACCACAUAGAGGCCUGAUCACCCCAAUAUCCCAGAGCACCGUAGGAUGACUGAAAUGCCACAUUCGGUCCACUCAUGUUAGGGCAGACUAUGAUAAAGUGUGAUGGUGAGAGCACUACUGGAGUAGUGGAUAAAGAAGAAAAUACAUUCCUGAGGAGAUGCGAAGAUUUUGAAGGAAAAAAAAAAAAAACCUAAUAAAAUUAUAUCCACUGUGUUUUUUUGCUCAUGGCAGUCUCUUUAAGGCUUCUGUUGAGGGCAUUAGAGAGAGGAACACAAGGAGGACAUCCAGCCAGGCAGUAAGCCCACUUACUUAAGAGUCACUACAGAUUUUGCCAUGAAAAAAUACCAGUAAUAUCACUAUUUGUUAUCUGAUACUGCAUCUGACCAAAGGAUAAACUUUAGAAUACUCUUCUAGAAUUAGGUGAGUCUUCAUUCAGAGGCCUCAUGGAAUGGCAGUCACAUUCUUACUUAUUGAAUGAGGUAUGAUAAAGCACAAGAUUUGAAGGCAAACACUCCAAUUUUUAUCACUUACUAGCUAUGGCACAGUCUCUUAGCUCCUACGUGCCAUGUGGAGAUUACCACAAUUUACAUAUAGAGUCACUGUUAAAUUCAAAUGAUAAAAAUAUGCAAAGCAUCUAAGAGCUUAGUACCUGGUGGUGUUCAAUAAAUACUAGUUUCCUGACCACCACUCCUACCCCUAAUACCAAACUUUUCUUUUGAGGAUUAUAUUUUGAUUAUUUGAUAUAUGACAGGUAUCAGCUAAUUACAUGCUGACUGGAUAUUUAGAUAAAAUUACCUCAAUUUCCUCUAUCAUGUUCUAUGUAAAAUCCAAUGCCCUCUCUAAAAUUUCUGCCAGUUCCCAAAAGCUUACAUUCAUGGUUAUGUCUGGAUGCUAGUUUCUGCUUCAGUGAACUCUCAAAUUCCCUUGCAUUUCACUGUCUGCCAUCAUGUGGUUCUCUCAACUCUGUGUUGAUCCCUAUACCAAAAAAUUAUUUGAAAUGAGUAACAUAAGCAACAGAGGGAUACACUCCAGAGAUGGAAGAACUUAGAACAAUAUAUACUGCAUUUCUACACCCCUCUUGCCUAACCAUAGUGGGCAUCCUUUUCCUCAAGUUCAUCUCCUUACCCCUUGGCUGAGCUUUCUUCUCCUAUUUGUUUCCCCUUUUUCUCAUUCACUUACCUCUACCGCUGAAUUACAUUUACUUCUUAGUAUUUAUGUAUCUUUCCUGUUUUCCCACCUUGCUUCUUCAAGAGCUUAUUGUCCACCCUAUAUUAACUUAGUAGAACACAUUCAGUUUUUUCACCAAGAGGAUUGGUUCCCACUCUUAAAAUUGUAUUUUUCAUGUCACUUUAAGAGUACUGAAUACUUUUCUUACUAAAAGUAUAAUUAAUGAGAAGUCUUUUGUACAUAAAUAUAAUUGAAAAUAUAAAGGUGAACUAUCUUUCAACAGCAUAUCAACAUAAGCUUCAUUUAUUUUUUUUU